rnacentral:rRNA from 1 species
UAAAAUAAGCCUAAAAACAGCUAAAGUAAAAAAACCAGUAAAAAGGUAAACAAUAAGAUUAAAGAAUAAUAAUAUAAAACUCAUACAAAAAAUAGGGGGCAUUUAAGUUAAACAUUAACACUUAAAUUAAAAUGAAUAGCAUAAGUAAAAAAAGAUUUAAAAAAUUUUUCCAGAAAAAAAAAUUAAUAAAGGAACUCGGCAAAAGAGUAGAGCAAAGACUGUUUAACAAAAACAUAGCUUCUAGAAAUAAUUAGAAGUAAAAUCCUGCCCGGUGAAAAUUUUUAAACGGCCACAAUCGUGCUAAGGUAGCGUAAUCAAUUGUCCUUUUACUGAGGACCAGUAUGAAAGGAAAAACGAAGCUCAACUGUCUCUAUUAAUAAAAUAAGAAAUUAGUUUUCAGGUGAAAAAACCUGAAUAAAAUUAAAGGACGAAAAGACCCUAUAGAGUUUAAAUAUAGCAUAUUUAACACCCUUAAAACUAAGGGUAAAAGUAUACAUAUUUUAAUUGGGGCAACAUAGGAACAGAAAAAUUUCCUAUAAUAAACAUUUAAUAUAUUAAAAACAAAAAUCCUCAAAGAGAUAAAGAAAAACUACCUUAGGGAUAACAGCGUAAUUUUUCUAAAGAGACCUAAUCGAAAGAAAAGUUUGCGACCUCGAUGUUGGACUAAGGCAUCAUAAUGGUGAAGAAACUAUUAAAGGUAGGUCUGUUCGACCUUUAAAAUCUUACAUGAUU